GAGUCUGAAAUCAGCGGUCCCCAAGUUUCUCGAAAUGGCUCAGUCCCGGGCAGCGACGGGCGGUGUGUACAAAGGGCAGGGACGUAAUCAA
rnacentral:rRNA from 1 species